rnacentral:rRNA from 1 species
UUUUAUUUGAGAGUUUGAUCCUGGCUCAGGAUGAACGCUGGCGGCGUGCCUAACACAUGCAAGUUGAGCGAUUUACUUCGGUAAAGAGCGGCGGACGGGUGAGUAACGCGUGGGUAACCUACCCUGUACACACGGAUAACAUACCGAAAG